rnacentral:sRNA from 1 species
UGUUGAGUGCCUGUUAGAACUCAUCCCUGUGCUAAGUUUAAAGCCUGUUGGGAGCAUCUGAUCCCAGGUGAUGGGAGCAUGCUAGGCCCUGGGCUUUGGCAGUCGAGCUGGUGACAUGCAGCACAAUUGCAAAACCGACCAUAAUGCCACCUGGUGGUUUCACGUGGGGGAUAAUGCACACCAAGGAACCAACUCAAAAGAGAACCAAAAAUAGUGCGUACCAAGAUGCCCAUGGCAGUCCUGGUGACAGUGGCAGAGGCUGACUUGAGCUUGAGGACCUUGAUUUCAAGGACAGAAACUACAGAAGCAGGUACACCUUCUGUUGUACAUGGAACCAGCAGGCCACUCUAGGCUUGUCCCGCAUGCUUCUGGGAGCGGCAUGUUGGUGCAGAGCCCUGGCCUCAGACCACAUGUGGCCCCCAGGAAGCAGGGCCUCCAUUCCAGGGUGAGUUGCCUGAGCCCAGAGAGGUGUGCCCUUCACUGCCACCAGACAGCCAGCGAGAGCAGCUCAGAACUGGGGUGCUGCCAACCUGCCUGAGGUGCCCCCACCAGCCACACUGCCUUUGGGGAACAGCUCCAGGAGAGCUGGUCGGCUGCUUCUCUCCCCAGGUGCAUGUUCCCACGCAGGGAGUAUAGUGCGCGCCAGCUCCGGCAAAUGUCCUCCCCGAAAUGCUGCGCCAAGCACAGGAGCUGUGCACAGACAACCCCUCAGUAACAGGCACAGCAGGCGCGGGUGGAAGGGGUCAUUAGGGUUCCCCUGAGUUCUAGCAGGAACAUUCCCCAGAGUUCUAGCAGGAACUAUAGAAUUCGUUAGUCCUCAGACUGGUCUAUAGCCCGCAUCAUUGUUCACGUCAAAACCAGCAUGUUGAGACUUGUAUUCAUUUGAAAAAAGGAAUUGAGGGUUUGGCGGCUUUUAUUUUAACCUGACCAAGUGAGGGAAUGCUCAGGCCCUUUUGCUCUGGUGCCAUAGGGCGGGGCUGGGCGGGCCAGGCAGGAGGCGUGGCAUGGGAGACCUGCUCCCCAGGGCCUGGCCUGGGGCUGGCUGUACAGAAACACAGACUACAUCUCUCAAGGACCCCAGGAGCUUGCAGUCCCAACAGCAGAAUGUUAUUCAUGUUCUUUUUAUUUUUGCGUUUGUCCAGAAGCACUACCACAGGAAGAGCAAGAAGGAAGUGGAAGUGAGGAGAGAGGAGGUACAGGCCAUUCUCUGCCGCUGUUCUUAGAGACCCCAGCGUCAAGGCACCCUUGCUUGCUGGUCUUUUCCCCAGUCACUGCCAGGGAGCCCCCUAUCCCGGGAGAUGGCGGAUGCGUCCCCCGAUCAGGGAGCAGGCCUCGGGAUGCACAGGAGGCUCCACGCUCUCCACCAGCCCCACGGGCACCCAGCCAGCCCUCUUUUGCCAGCUUCUCUCCAGCUGCCCUGUGACUCCUCAUCUGAGAGAAGACAUUGUGGAUCAUUGUCAUCAGCUUAGGUCCAACCACUGCAGCAAUUUAGGGAAAACCUGUGGCGGUUCUGGGUUUUUUCCCCAUGACCACCUUCCCAAACGCCAGGGUGUUUUAUGAUAGGGCCCCGGUAACUCCAUGCCAGAAAACACCCAACUCUUCCUCUCCCUGCUGUCAGCCCACAGCCCUCUCACAUGACAAAGAUUAAUCUCUUUCCUGCUAACCUGCAGAGGAGAAGGGGACCAGCUCUCCGGACUAUCGGCACUACCUUCGAAUGUGGGCCAAGGAGAAAGAGGCUCAGAAGGAGACGAUUAAGGAUCUUCCCAAGAUGAACCAGGAGCAGUUCAUUGAGCUGUGCAAGACGCUUUACAACAUGUUCAGUGAAGACCCCAUGGAGCAGGACCUGUACCACGCCAUCGCCACCGUGGCCAGCCUCCUGCUCCGCAUCGGAGAGGUGGGGAAGAAGUUCUCAGCCCACACAGGCAGGAAGCCCAGGGACUGUGCCACUGAGGAGGACGAGCCACCAGCACCCGAACUGCAUCAGGACACAGCCAGGGAGCUUCAGCCCCCAGCUGCAGGAGACCCCCAAGCCAAAGCAGGCGGAGACGCACACCUCGGAAAAGCCCCACAGGAGAGCCAGGUGGUGGUGGAGGGGGGCAGCGGCGAGGGACAGGGCUCACCCUCCCAGCUGCUGUCUGACGAUGAAACCAAAGACGACAUGUCCAUGUCCUCAUACUCGGUGGUCAGCACGGGCUCCCUGCAAUGUGAAGACCUUGCAGACGACACGGUGCUGGUGGGCGGGGAGGCCUGCAGCCCCACAGCGCGCAUCGGCGGCACCGUCGACACCGACUGGUGCAUCUCCUUUGAGCAGAUCCUGGCCUCCAUCCUGACGGAGUCCGUGCUGGUGAACUUCUUUGAGAAGAGAGUGGACAUUGGACUCAAGAUCAAGGACCAAAAGAAAGUGGAGAGACAGUUCAGCACCGCCAGUGACCAUGAGCAGCCUGGAGUUUCCGGCUGAUGCCUGCAGCUGUGAGGCCUGGCCCGAGGUGUCAUCAGUGGGGCUGGCCUCAUCUCCUCCUGCCUUUCCUCCCUUAUCAGUUUCUCUUUAAAGGUGUCCCCCUCAUGCUCUCCCAGGAGCAGUGAGUUGUGAGUGGAAAGAAGGCUGGUGCAGACCCAGCUGCCUUAGACAGAUUCCCUGGGCCUGCAUCUCCUGGCGCCGGCUGCUUCUGGGCCCAGGAAGAGGCUGUGGCUCCCACCUUCCUUACACCUGGUGGGAGCCCGCCUCGCACCAGCUGCACCUGCCUAGCAUUAGAGGCUCUCAGAUCUGCCCUUGCUUACCUCAUACCUCUGUGCCCCACACUGCGGCCAGGCCAGCCGAGUCCCUCCAUCCGUGGAUGCUUUCCUGCAGCUAUGUGGUAUGGGGGUCAUUCCUGCCUCUUGGCACCAGGUUGGGGGGCAUGUGCUUGUUGGGCACCAAAGUGAUGGAACCCUCAGGUGCUCUCCGGGAGCCUGAACCUCCUGACUGAGGAACAUGGGCAGAACAUGUUUAUUGCACAGAGUGGGCGCUGCGCACAGGCGUGGCUAUACACGUGCUCUCAGCUCAUCAUCCUUUCCAGUAACUUUAAAAACACAUCCCUCAGGUCCUGAUAUAUUUCCUUGGAUUCAUUUCACUUGGCUAGAAAUUACACUGUGCUCAAUGCCUUAAUAAAUCCCUGAAAGAAAUAAAACCCACUGUGUGCAAUGCCUUGCUGUGGCCCCCAACCACUGCUUAGGCCUCCCAACUUCUCCCCAGGCCAAGUAUGGGGCCCUGGCUGUGUUCUGGAAGUUCAAGACACUUAGUCCUCCACAGUGGGUGGAAGAGUGAAAGGCCUGCCAGGUCAGAUGGAGACGCAGAACCUGCUGGUGCAAGCUGGGCAGGUCCUGACCAACCUGCAUCAGGGGAUGCCCUGAGCUCCACAGGUCUUCAUGGGCAGGGGUUGUGGGUCCUGGUGAAGGAAGUGCAUCCUCAGGCCUGGGCUGUAGCAAGCUGUCUGCCCUUGGGUUCAAGAACCAGACUGUGGAGCCAAAGGUGACCGCAGGGGGCCCCAGGGCUGAGCCACAAGGAUACCCUCACUUUGCAUGAGGAGCUGAAACUGACCAGUGUCCAGUGUUAGCCCCCACAUGGGGCUGCUCUUGCUUCUACUAAAAGAUACAGCAGUUACCCCCUUAUCCACAGGGGAUACAGUGGAUAUCUAAAACCAGACCCCCAGCGGAUGUCUAAAACCACAGAUAAUAACAAACCUUAUACAUACUGUUUUUUCCUAUGCAUACAUACCUGUGAUUAAGUUUAUGAAUUAGGCACCUUAAGAGAUUGACAACAAUAACUAAUAAUAAAAUGUAACGGUUAUACUGUAAUGAAA